GAUGAAGAACGUAGCGAAAUGCGAUACUUGGUGUGAAUUGCAGAAUCCCGUGAACCAUCGAGUCUUUGAACGCAAGUUGCGCCCGAAGCCAUUAGGCCGAGGGCACGCCUGCCUGGGCGUCACACGUCGUUGCCCCCCCAUCUACUCCUUCGGGAUUGCGGGGGGCGGAUGAUGGCCUCCCGUGCGCCUCGUCGCGCGGUUGGCAUAAAUACCAAGUCCUCGGCGACGCACGCCACGACAAUCGGUGGUUGCGAAACCUCGGUUGCCCGUCGUGUGCGGUCGUCGCGCAUCGAGGGCUCGAAAAAAUUGCCGGGCUCCGUCUCGGCUUUCAACGCGACCCCAGGUCAGGCGGGGUUACCCGCUGAAUUUAAGCAUAUCAAUAAGCGGAGGA
rnacentral:misc_RNA from 1 species